rnacentral:rRNA from 1 species
AUACGGAGGAUCCGAGCGUUAUCCGGAUUUAUUGGGUUUAAAGGGUGCGCAGGCGACCAUUUAAGUCAGCGGUUAAAUCGUGGGGCUCAACCCCAUUCUGCCGUUGAUACUGGGUGGCUUGAUUGCGGUCGAGGUUGGCGGAAUUCGUUGUGUAGCGGUGAAAUGCAUAGAUAUGACGAAGAACACCGAUUGCGUAGGCAGCUGACCAGACCGCAAAUGACGCUCAUGCACGAAAGUGCGGGGAUCGAACAGGAUUAGAUACCCUGGUAGUCCGCACAGUAAACGAUGAAUACUUGUUUUCGGCGAUAUAAUGUCGGAGGCAAAGCGAAAGCGAUAAGUAUUCCACCUGGGGAGUACGCCGGCAACGGUGAAACUCAAAGGAAUUGACGGGG